GAAUUUUGGGCAAUGGCCGCAAGGCUGACCCAGCGACGCCGCGUGCGGGAGGACGCCCUUCGGGGUGUAAACCGCUGUCAGGGGGGACGAAUGCUCGGGCGGUGAAUAGCCGUUCGAGGUGACGGUACCUCCUAAGGAAGCGCCGGCGAACUCCGUGCCAGCCGCCGCGGUAAUACGGAGGGCGCAAGCGUUGUUCGGAAUCACUGGGCGUAAAGCGCGCGCAGGCGGGACCAGCAAGUCGGGAGUGAAAUCUCGGGGCUCAACUCCGAGGCUGCUUCCGAAACUGCGGACCUGGAGACCGGUAGAGGUGGGUGGAAUUCCCGGUGUAGCGGUGGAAUGCGUAGAGAUCGGGAAGAACACCUGUGGCGAAGGCGGCCCACUGGGCCGGAUCUGACGCUGAGGCGCGAAAGCGUGGGGAGCAAACAGG
rnacentral:rRNA from 1 species